CCUUGCUGUAGCCAUUGCUGUAAUGUGCCAGGUGUACUUGCAAUAAUCAGAGAAAGUGCGCCAACGUCAAAUCACACAGAGGGAGGGAGAGCACAACUCCUGGCUGCAGCUGAAGGAGGACGAUUGAUUUCUGGCAGUUCGUCUUACCAUUGCUUGUAAGUCGGAUUGGGUAAGAUGGAUCAUCUUUAAAGGCACCAGGAGUUAAGGCAGAUGUGGAGGCACAACGGGUGAUACCAGACACACACCAAGCACAUUAUGUUCGG